UGAUGCAGCAACGCCGCGUGAGGGACGACGGCCUUCGGGUUGUAAACCUCUUUUAGUAGGGAAGAAGCGAAAGUGACGGUACCUGCAGAAAAAGCACCGGCUAACUACGUGCCAGCAGCCGCGGUAAUACGUAGGGUGCGAGCGUUGUCCGGAAUUAUUGGGCGUAAAGAGCUCGUAGGCGGUCUGUCGCGUCUGCUGUGAAAUCCCGAGGCUCAACCUCGGGCCUGCAGUGGGUACGGGCAGACUAGAGUGCGGUAGGGGAGAUUGGAAUUCCUGGUGUAGCGGUGGAAUGCGCAGAUAUCAGGAGGAACACCGAUGGCGAAGGCAGAUCUCUGGGCCGUAACUGACGCUGAGGAGCGAAAGCGUGGGGAGCGAACAGGAUUAGAUACCCUGGUAGUCCACGCCGUAAACGUUGGGCGCUAGAUGUGGGGACCAUUCCACGGUUUCCGUGUCGCAGCUAACGCAUUAAGCGCCCCGCCUGGGGAGUACGGCCGCAAGGCUAAAACUCAAAGGAAUUGACGGGGGCCCGCACAAGCGGCGGAGCAUGCGGAUUAAUUCGAUGCAACGCGAAGAACCUUACCAAGGCUUGACAUAUACGAGAACGGGCUAGAAAUAGUCAACUCUUUGGACACUCGUAAACAGGUGGUGCAUGGUUGUCGUCAGCUCGUGUCGUGAGAUGUUGGGUUAAGUCCCGCAACGAGCGCAACCCUCGUUCUAUGUUGCCAGCGCGUAAUGGCGGGAACUCAUAGGAGACUGCCGGGGUCAACUCGGAGGAAGGUGGGGAUGACGUCAAAUCAUCAUGCCCCUUAUGUCUUGGGCUUCACGCAUGCUACAAUGGCCGGUACAAAGGGCUGCAAUACCGUAAGGUGGAGCGAAUCCCAAAAAGCCGGUCUCAGUUCGGAUUGAGGUCUGCAACUCGACCUCAUGAAGUCGGAGUCGCUAGUAAUCGCAGAUCAGCAACGCUGCGGUGAAUACGUUCCCGGGCCUUGUACACACCGCCCGUCAAGUCAUGAAAGUCGGUAACACCCGAAGCCGGUGGCCUA
rnacentral:rRNA from 1 species